GUGGGGUCGGACCGGAGCGAAGCUCUGUAGCGCUGAGCGAUCGCGGCCAAAAACGGGGCUGGAGGAGCCACAUAAGCUAGGAAGGGACCUCAGUGAGGAGAGGGAGCAAGAGCGGGGCGAGUUAGAUGGGGAGCCAAAGCCGAGGCCUGCCUGGAGCCCCAGAUCACCCCUUCCUACUACACCACUUCUGACGCUGUCAUUUCCACUGAGACCGUCUUCAUUGUGGAGAUCUCCCUGACAUGCAAGAACAGGGUCCAGAACAUGGCUCUCUAUGCUGACGUCGGUGGAAAACAAUUCCCUGUCACUCGAGGCCAGGAUGUGGGGCGUUAUCAGGUGUCCUGGAGCCUGGACCACAAGAGCGCCCAUGCAGGCACCUAUGAGGUUAGAUUCUUCGACGAGGAGUCCUACAGCCUCCUCAGGAAGGCUCAGAGGAAUAACGAGGACAUUUCCAUCAUCCCGCCUCUGUUUACAGUCAGCGUGGACCAUCGGGGCACUUGGAACGGGCCCUGGGUGUCCACUGAGGUGCUGGCUGCGGCGAUCGGCCUUGUGAUCUACUACUUGGCCUUCAGUGCGAAGAGCCACAUCCAGGCCUGACGGCGGCACCCCAGCCCUGCCCUUGCUUCCUUCAAUAAACAUCACAGGACCUGGGACUGCACAG
rnacentral:sRNA from 1 species